ACGAUAGAAUCUCAAGAGCAGAGCCUACCAGGAAGUAGAGUGAAGCCUACAACUUCCUCAGCCAUGAGGACCCAACAAUCCACUGGGGAGUGCUGGUUUGCCACAAAACUCCAUCGUAACUGAAAGAGGAAAUCUUCUACAAAUUCCAGAGACCUUCUUGGAGGAUGAGAAGCAGCCACUAGUUGACAGGAGGGGAAGUGAGGCAUGUAGUCUUCAAGGGAGCAGACCACCGUGGGAGUUAUAAAAUAUCAGCGACGCCUCUGGGUGGGUUCGAACCGCCAACCUUUUAGUUAACAGCCAAACGCGCUAGCCGAUUGCGCCACAGAGACAUGGCUGAGCUCCUGAUUUCGUUCUAAAAGAGGGUAAGCUGUCACUAAACGCUAGCUAGCACCAUCCGCCUUUUGCAAAAUGAUUGGGUAAUCUCCAAAGCCUGACCAACAUGGUGAA
rnacentral:tRNA from 1 species